rnacentral:tRNA from 1 species
GCCUGGCCAGCUCAGUUGGUAGAGCAUGCAACUCUUGAUGUUGGGGUCAUGAGUUCAAGCCCCAUGCUGGGCG